rnacentral:rRNA from 1 species
GAUGCGUUCCAUUAGAUAGUAGGCGGGGUAACGGCCCACCUAGUCUUCGAUGGAUAGGGGUUCUGAGAGGAAGGUCCCCCACAUUGGAACUGAGACACGGUCCAAACUCCUACGGGAGGCAGCAGUGAGGAAUAUUGGUCAAUGGGCGAGAGCCUGAACCAGCCAAGUAGCGUGAAGGAUGACUGCCCUAUGGGUUGUAAACUUCUUUUAUAAAGGAAUAAAGUCGGGUAUGGAUACCCGUUUGCAUGUACUUUGUGAAUAAGGAUCGGCUAACUCCGUGCCAGCAGCCGCGGUAAUACGGGGGAUCCGAGCGUUAUCCGGAUUUAUUGGGUUUAAAGGGAGCGUAGAUGGAUGUUUAAGUCAGUUGUGAAAGUUUGCGGCUCAACCGUAAAAUUGCAGUUGAUACUGGAUAUCUUGAGUGCAGUUGAGGCAGGCGGAAUUCGUGGUGUAGCGGUGAAAUGCUUAGAUAUCAC